AGAGUUUGAUCCUGGCUCAGAAUCAACGCUGGCGGCGUGCCUAACACAUGCAAGUCGAACGAGAAAGGGUAGCAAUACCUGAGUACAGUGGCGCACGGGUGAGUAACACGUGACUAACCUACCCUGGAGUGGGGAAUAACUGAGGGAAACCUUAGCUAAUACCGCAUAAUACCUACGGGUCAAAGGAGCAAUUCGCUUCAGGAGGGGGUCGCGGCCGAUUAGCUAGUUGGCGGGGUAAUGGCCCACCAAGGCAAUGAUCGGUAUCCGGCCUGAGAGGGCGCACGGACACACUGGAACUGAAACACGGUCCAGACUCCUACGGGAGGCAGCAGUGGGGAAUUUUGCGCAAUGGGGGAAACCCUGACGCAGCAACGCCGCGUGGAGGAUGAAAUCCCUUGGGAUGUAAACUCCUUC
rnacentral:rRNA from 1 species